rnacentral:rRNA from 1 species
UAACGAAUCUUCCGCAAUGGGCGAAAGCCUGACGGAGCAAUGCCGCGUGUGGGAUGAAGCGCCUUCGGCGUGUAAACCACUGUCAGGGAAUGGAACCAAUGAUUAUUCCCAAAGGAAGUGGCGACUAACUCUGUGCCAGCAGUCGCGGUAAUACAGAGGCCACAAGCGUUAGUCGGAAUCACUGGGCUUAAAGGGUGCGUAGGCGGGCCCGCAAGCGUCUUGUGAAAUCCCAUGGCUCAACCAUGGAAUUGCAGGGCGAACUGCGGGUCUUGAGGCAGGUAGGGGCCGGAAGAACAGUAGGUGGAGCGGUGAAAUGCGUAGAUAUCUACUGGAAUGCCGAUGGGGAAGCCGUCCGGCUGGGCCUGUCCUGACGCUGAGGCACGAAAGCGUGGGGAGCAAACAGGAUUAGAUACCCACGUAGUCCCUGAGCGGGCUGGCAAGGCGCAU